rnacentral:rRNA from 1 species
GCGGGCGGGGCUGCUACCUGCAGUCGACGAUGACCACUUCGGUGGGGAUUAGUGGCGAACGGGUGAGUAACACGUGGGCAAUCUGCCCUGCACUCUGGGACAAGCCCUGGAAACGGGGUCUAAUACCGGAUACUGACCUUCACGGGCAUCUGUGAAGGUCGAAAGCUCCGGCGGUGCAGGAUGAGCCCGCGGCCUAUCAGCUUGUUGGUGAGGUAAUGGCUCACCAAGGCGACGACGGGUAGCCGGCCUGAGAGGGCGACCGGCCACACUGGGACUGAGACACGGCCCAGACUCCUACGGGAGGCAGCAGUGGGGAAUAUUGCACAAUGGGCGAAAGCCUGAUGCAGCGACGCCGCGUGAGGGAUGACGGCCUUCGGGUUGUAAACCUCUUUCAGCAGGGAAGAAGCGAAAGUGACGGUACCUGCAGAAGAAGCGCCGGCUAACUACGUGCCAGCAGCCGCGGUAAUACGUAGGGCGCAAGCGUUGUCCGGAAUUAUUGGGCGUAAAGAGCUCGUAGGCGGCUUGUCACGUCGGUUGUGAAAGCCCGGGGCUUAAGCCCCGGGUCUU